UACGUAGGUGGCAAGCGUUGUCCGGAUUUACUGGGCGUAAAGAGCGCGCAGGCGGUCGAGUAAGUCGAAUGUGAAAGCCCCCGGCUUAACUGGGGAGGGUCAUUCGAUACUGUUCGACUUGAAGGCAGGAGAGGGCAGCAGAAUUCCCGGUGUAGCGGUGAAAUGCGUAGAUAUCUGGAGGAAUACCGGUGGCGAAGGCGGCAUCCUGGACCGAUAUUGACACUGAUGAGCGAAAGCUAGGGGAGCAAACGGG
rnacentral:rRNA from 1 species